rnacentral:rRNA from 1 species
UACGGAGGGUGCGAGCGUUGUCCGGAAUCACUGGGCGUAAAGGGCGCGUAGGCGGCUUGGUAAGUAGGGGGUGAAAUCCUGCGGCUUAACCGCAGGGCUGCCUUCUAAACUGCCAGGCUCGAGCACAGUAGAGGCAGGUGGAAUUCCUGGUGUAGCGGUGAAAUGCGCAGAUAUCAGGAGGAACACCGGUGGCGAAGGCGGGUCUCUGGGCCGAUACUGACGCUGAGGAGCGAAAGCGUGGGGAGCGAACAGG